GUCAUCUUCAUAGGGAGAAAGGAAGACAGGGAGAGGGAACUAAUCGAUGGUGAGAGACAAAGACCAUACUUCAGAAUAUGACACACACCUCCUCAAUCCCAAGAUGGGGUCCACUAUUGGAUUGAGAGAAGAACUAGAUGUCUCUCCCUCCCCAUAUCCAAACAUCAGUGAUGCCUGGACAUUUCAGCAAGAACGAGUACUUACUUUUGAGACCAGAAACUCCAAAGCCCAACACAAGCUAAAAAAGCCACAGGACUAACCUGAUUUCCCCUGGGGCGCUAUUGCCCUCCCCUAACUGGUAAGUGUACUCUGAACUUUUCCUUGUCCUCAGUACCUUAGCUGAGUAAAAUGGAAGUGAUUUUGUUGACCAGAGAAAGAGGCAAAAGCAGUGGUCCACUCAUCAUCAAGGCUACUUCUCUUAAAGAGGACUUCAGAGCUAUUAGCUUCAGAUUGGCCAUAAAAUCAUAGAUUCUGAGCUGGAAGGGACUGUAGAGGUCAGCCGGUUCUAAAUCUCUUCUUUUAUAAAUGGGGGAGCUGAGGCCCCCGCAGGGUCAUGAUUUGUCUAAUGUUCACACAAGCACUAAGCCAGAAUUGAGACCAAAGCCCUCUUAUUCCAAGUCCAACACUCUUUUCCCCUGCACCCUCAUCUAAACGCCCCUUCUCAGGAAUAUCCUGGAAAUAAAUUAGGCUUUACCUGGUUGACA
rnacentral:lncRNA from 1 species